AUGUUUCCUGUAUAAUUAUAUUUCGUAGAGAAGUUAAGGCGGUGGCUAUCUCUUAAAAAUGGAGGUGGUGCUUAUGGUUAAAAAACUAUUCGCGCUACUCCAUAUUCUUAAAUGAAGGAGUAGCUUAGUAUCCAUUUGGGGUGCGUUACAAUUAAUGCUAAUUUUUGGUACUUUUGUGAUUAAUUUGAUCGCACUAG
rnacentral:sRNA from 1 species